GCUUUAGUCCGCUCAGCCAUCUCUCC
rnacentral:tRNA from 1 species